UACAGGGGGUGCAAACGUUGCUCGGAAUUAUUGGGCGUAAAGCGCGCGUAGGCGGCUACUUAAGUCGGAUGUGAAAGCCCCUGGCUCAACUGGGGAAGUGCACCCGAAACUGAGCAGCUAGAGUACGAAAGAGGGUCGCGGAAUUCCCGGUGUAGAGGUGAAAUUCGUAGAUAUCGGGAGGAACACCGGUGGCGAAGGCGGCGACCUGGGUCGAUACUGACACUGAGGAGCGAAAGCCAGGGGAGCAAACGGG
rnacentral:rRNA from 1 species